rnacentral:rRNA from 1 species
UAAUACAGAGGGUGCGAGCGUUAAUCGGAGUUACUGGGCGUAAAGGGCGCGUAGGCGGAUACAAGAGUGUGAUGUGAAAGCCCUGGGCUUAACCUAGGAAGUGCAUCGCAAACGCUGUAUCUGGAGUAUAAGAGAGGGUGGCGGAAUUUCCGGUGUAGCGGUGAAAUGCGUAGAGAUCGGAAGGAACGUCGAUGGCGAAGGCAGCCACCUGGCUUAAUACUGACGCUGAGGCGCGAAAGCGUGGGGAGCGAACAGGAUUAGAUACCCUGGUAGUCCACGCUGUAAACGAUGAGGACUAGAUGUUGGUAGGGGAACCUAUCAGUAUCGAAGCUAACGCGAUAAGUCUUCCGCCUGGGAAGUACGGCCGCAAGGUUG